GCAGGGGCGGGCGGCCGCGGACUGGCGGGCGCCGCGCGGAGGCAAGGCGGGCGUGUUCAAUGGAAGUAUGCUACCAGCUGCCGGUGCUGCCCCUGGACAGGCCGGUCCCCCAGCACGUCCUCAGCCGCCGAGGAGCCAUCAGCUUCAGCUCCAGCUCCGCGCUCUUCGGCUGCCCGCAUCCCCGGCAGCUCUCGCAGAGACGUGGAGCUAUUUCCUAUGACAGUUCUGAUCAGACUGCGUUAUAUAUUCGUAUGCUAGGAGAUGUCCGCGUAAGAAGCCGUGCAGGAUUUGAAGCAGAAAGAAGAGGUUCACACCCAUAUAUUGACUUCCGUGUUUUCCACUCUCAGUCUGAAAUUGAAGCGUCAGUGUCCGCCAGGAACAUCAGAAGGCUGCUAAGUUUCCAGCGCUAUCUCAGAUCCUCGCGCUUUUUCCGGGGCGCCACAGUUCCUAGCUCUCUAAACAUUCUAGAUGACGAUUAUAAUGGACAAGCCAAGUGUAUGCUGGACAGAGUUGGAAACUGGAAUUUUGAUAUCUUUCUGUUUGACAGACUAACAAAUGGAAAUAGUCUAGUAAGUUUAACCUUUCAUUUAUUUAGUCUUCAUGGAUUGAUUGAGUACUUCCAUUUAGAUAUGGUGAAACUCCGUCGAUUUUUAGUUAUGAUUCAAGAAGAUUACCACAGUCAAAAUCCUUACCACAAUGCGGUCCAUGCUGCAGACGUUACUCAGGCCAUGCACUGUUACCUAAAGGAACCUAAGCUUGCGAAUUCUGUAACUCCUUGGGAUAUCUUGCUGAGCUUAAUUGCAGCUGCUACUCAUGAUCUGGAUCACCCAGGUGUUAAUCAGCCUUUCCUUAUCAAAACCAACCAUUAUUUGGCAACUUUAUACAAGAAUACCUCAGUCCUGGAAAAUCACCACUGGAGAUCAGCAGUGGGCUUGUUGAGAGAAUCUGGUUUGUUCUCACAUUUGCCACUGGAGAGCAGGCAGCAGAUGGAGACUCAGAUAGGUGCUUUAAUACUAGCCACAGACAUCAGUCGCCAGAACGAGUACCUGUCAUUGUUCAGAUCUCACCUGGACAGAGGUGACUUACACCUGGACGAUGGCAGACAUAGGCAUUUGGUUCUACAGAUGGCCUUGAAAUGUGCUGACAUUUGUAACCCAUGUCGGAACUGGGAAUUAAGCAAGCAGUGGAGUGAAAAAGUAACGGAGGAAUUCUUCCACCAAGGAGAUAUAGAAAAAAAGUAUCAUUUGGGUGUGAGUCCACUUUGCGAUCGUCAGACCGAGUCUAUUGCCAACAUCCAGAUUGGUUUUAUGACUUACCUGGUGGAGCCUUUAUUUACAGAGUGGGCCAGGUUUUCAGACACGAGGCUGUCACAGACAAUGCUCGGACAUGUGGGGCUGAAUAAAGCCAGCUGGAAGGGACUGCAAAGACAGCAGCCCAGCAGCGAGGAUGCCAAUGCUGCAUUUGAUUUGAACUCACAGUUGCUAACUCAGGAAAAUCAAUUAUCAUAACCCUGAACCAGUGGGAAAAACUCCCUCCUGCAAGAUUGGAACUGUGAAAUGGGUGUCGAGGUGAAGAACUGGUUCUGACUGCCGGGUUUCCAGGGAACUGAUGCCAGCAUUAUUUAUUAUUGCGUUUUCCUCUGUUUGGAUCGUUUGAGCCCACUUUUUAAUGAUAAGCCCUGAAUAUACAGCAAUAUGCAUCUGGCUUUUGUGUGAGACCUUGAAUAUUCAAAGCUCAGCAGGAGAACCAGAAAGGAUUAACAGAGGAAGACUUGCUGCCAUUUUCACAGUGUCCUCCAAGCCCUGAAACUUGAACCGAAUCUCAGCAGCAAUCUUGGUCUACCUGUCUGAUACAGCAGCGCAUCCAUCCCUUCCACUAUCUUCUCUCUGAGAAAACAGAAAUGUGAAGUGCCCAGCCUCUGCUGCCUCUGGCAAGACUCAAAUGUUUACAAAUCAACUCUGAAAUACUGGUUCUAAAUUGCCUUGGAGCAUGAUUGUGAAGGAACCACUGAGACAUUCACUGCUCGAACUGGAGACUGCAGCUCUCCUGUGGUUUGCCUUUUUUCUUCUUUGGAUGCCCUCAGAGCCUCUUGUUCACUGUUUUGUCUUGUGCACUGGAGAGUGAGUGGUUUUCACAGAGCACCAAGUGUUUCAUUCCAGUGCUGUGUGGCAAUGCAGAUUUUUAACUCUCCGUUUUUAAUUUGGGGCGGGAGGGAAGGAACACCAAUGUCCCAGCUGUGUCCAGACUCUGCAGUGAAGACACUGCAUGUUGUUUUCACUACUGUGCACUUGACCUGCACAUGCAAGAAAAAGGUGGAAUGUUUAACACACCAUAAUCAGCUCAGGGUAUUUGCCAAUCCGAAAUAAAGUGGGAUAGGAAAGUGUGUCCUUCAGAUCAAGGGAACUAAAGUCCCUUUCGCUGCAGUGCGUGAGAGGCAAAUCUCCUUGAGAAGCCAAAUUAGGAGCAGCUGGUUUACUCAGUGAGCAAGGAUUCUGAGCAAGGGACGCGUUUCCUCAUGCAUCCAUCUCCCUGUGGGGAUACCUGCUGAUAUCCAUAGCUGUGGACUGGGUACCCUCUUCCCCUGGGUGCUAGAGGUUCUCUGCCACUAGCUGCCCCUACACAUUAGCUUGAUUGGUAAUUCCACUGCAUCUGUUACUUCUUCAGCCCUUUUCUGUUGAGCUUGCCUAGGCAGUCACACUGCCUGGGGUGGCUGUUUACUUCUGCUGGUCUUGAGUUUACUACCACCAAGGUGUAGCUGUUUACAGCUCCUCAAAGGGAAGCUAGGUGAUGCUCCCAAACCCCAGAGUUGGUCUGCUUACAGCUGUGUGGGAAUUGCCUGACACCCUCUUGCUUCUUUGACUUAUAUUCCUUGAACAAUUGGUUCUUCCAGAAGAAUCUGAGGAAACAUUUCGAUCACAUUUUUUUUUUAAAGUAAGCAAACACAUAGUGCAAAAUUCAUGGCAUUUCAAGAUAAAUUGGACAUGUCAAAGAAUUUUUGAGGUUGUAGCAGCCAUUUGGGAGUCUGGGCCCAGUACUGAAGAGGAGGUGGGUGAGGGAGUCUGCUUUAGGGGUGAGAAAAAAUUAAGAAGUCCUACCUUAACUACAAAUCUGGUUCUUCAUUAAUAUUUGUAACAAGCCUCUUUGUAUUAAAAAAAAAAAAAAAGCAAAAAUUAUAUCUACUUUUGUCCUUUGCAAACCUGGAAAAAAUACUCUGUACCUGAGGUAUAGGUUAGAGGUGCUAGUGAUCCCUUCGAGGUUCUGCAUUGGUCUUUCCCACAAUGCUUUUUGGAUGUUUAUGUUUCCGAUUUAAGACUUAAAAACUGUCACAAGCUUGUCAUGUCUUGAGACCAGUAACUAAUGUAAUUCAUACUGCUUUUAAAGAAAUGUUCAGAGUAGUUAGCAUAUCUUCAAUGUGUAUUUGAAACAUAACUUACAUUGGAGAUUUGGGCCGCACCAUUCCCUACUAAGAACCUAUAUGGCAUUGGGAGGACCCCCAUGAGGACAUGGUCUUCAGGAGGGGUCACCACCACUGCAGGGCAACAUGGGGAUGAGCUGACAGAAAUAUAAAGGGUCUCAUGUUCUUGAGUGUGCAUGGCGUAGGGCAGGUGUAAAUUACUGUGGAGUGUGCCCUUUAGCUAUCAGAUUAUGGAGAAGGAAUUUACUAGGAGUGGUUUUGGUAGUGCUGAAGUUGUAUCAUAAACAGUGUCUGGGUUCCUGCUGUAUACAGAAGGUGACAAUGGGUGUUAGAAUUUUAAAGAGCAUUUCAAGUUACAAGCCAGGGUCUCCUUUCAAAUUUUCUUGGUGAAAGAAAAUGUUUGUCAUUAGCUUUCAGAAUUACAUAUGAAGGGAAUGCUGGGGCAUUGUUUGAGAGACUGGCUAAUGAUGAGACCAACGCCAUUCUUGUCUCUUAAUACCUGAAGCACUUACAGUCAGACUUUACUGUAGUUUUCGGUAUUCAGAAUGGUACUUUGUAUAAAAUACUGACUUCAUCAGCUACAUUUAAACUCCCUAGCUUUUCUAAGCUACCCUGGACUCCAUCUUUAGAAUCUGGUAGGAUGGGAGGGGACAGAGAAAUGCCAUUAUUCUCAAUAUUAUCGGCUGUGAACUUAAAAUUGAAACCUGCUGACUUAGUCAUUUACAGCUUUCAGUUGAUUCAGUAGUCUAUUAAAAAAUUCCAUCUUGUACUGGUCUUUAAGCUCUCACACUCUCUCUUUCCUUCUCGGGUGUGUGUGUGUGUGUGUGUGUGUGUGUGUGUGUGUGUGCGUAAAAUAAAUUUGAAGUAUGUCUUCACUGUUUGGACACGUCUUUAAAAUUUCAGAGAACUGUAAUGCUAUCAGUUUUUUUUAA